GGGGGAGUCUCUACGUUUUAUGAAAAUGGAGUUUGUGAAAGACGCCGUCCAGACACUGAAAGGUGGGACAUUUGAUGUCAGUCCCACCUCACCCCGGGUAAAACCAGUCUGAUAGAUGUUCAAAAGCGCGCUUCAAGCUCUCAGACAGACUACCAUAAUCUGUGUAUGACAGACCAAGAUUCCAAGAUUCAUAACCUACCAGCAUAAAGAGUGCAUCUUGCCUGAUCCAGAUAGUGAAAUACUGCUGUGUUUCUUGAGAGAGACGCAUUCCUUCCAUUAUCUGCUGCACUGUGGUGUUAUUUCCAUGCUUCAGUUCAACAGAACG